UUCAUCCCUCCCUCAUCUAGCAUACUAGUACAUUCAAAGUACUGACACAUACCUUUCUCUUGCGCAAUAGUGUGUUAUACCAUAGGUUCAGAAGCGUGAAAUCUAGAGCACCCUUAGCAGUCUAGACUCAGUCAGCAGUAGUAGACGUAGCAGUGAGUCCUCAUCAUUCGAGGAUGCAUCUUAUUUCAGUAUUUCAUUAGAUUCAGUUUAUUUUUAAUAGAUGGAGUUAGUUGGGGACCUGUCCCGUCAACUCCACAGUUCAGACAGUUUAGAGGCUUUUCAGAC
rnacentral:lncRNA from 1 species